UUUUUUUUUUGGUUCCAGAAAGUAAUAGAGAACCAUCUUCUAAAACAUGGAAGUAUUAUUUUCUCAAAUCAUGGAUUUUUUGAUGUCAAAGAAUAUGGGCAAAGAGAUGUAAGAGAUCUUAAGAGGAAUUGCAAAUGGACAGAUAAAAGAAGAGUGUAACAAUCAGUAGAUACAGUCAUGAACCCUAUCAUCCAGAAAAUAAGCCUCAAAGAGGAUGGUUUUUCUCCGUCUGUGAGUAGUAGCAAUUCUGGAAGGGACGUUCUUUUCUUUCCCAAACUUUCUUUUUAACUUUAUAGACCACCAGGGAUUCAUUAGUCCUUCAUUUUGGGGCUGUGGAGAGGAAAAAAGCAAAAAGAUAUAGGCAAAGGUCCUCCAAGAAAGGGACUAUGUAUCUAUGAUGUCAUGAAAUUCCCCCCAUGAAACUAUAUCCUGAGAUUUUCUUCUAUUCUCCAUCCCUUGCUGUGUAGGAAGUUCCAUCUCCCUGUAGAGACUUCCAAUGAGCAGUGGAGUGGGGAAGGUUCUUUUUGGGAGGUUGCCAAGGAUAUUAGAGUGGGAGGAAAAGAUUCUAGUUCUGAUGUAAUUUUCAUUGAGAGAUAUCAUAUCACAAAAUAUUUGUAGAGGGACCUUGAUAUUAUAGUUACAUUCCAAAAAGAACCCCACUCCCAAUUUCUCUCUUCUUUUUUAUCCCUUCUGAAGAUGGAGCACUCUUAGAGACUUGAAAUAAAAACAUGCUUCUAAGAAUCUUGUUGUUCAAGAGGACCCUCUAGGUUUCAUAGUAACUUUUGGAUUAGGCCAUGGUGCUAUCAAAGUCUCCAUUCUGAAAAAUAGCCAUUCACCUUCUUUAAAGAGUGUGCUCUCUUCUAUUUUUAUCUUCCCUUUACUAGUCAUUCACCCAGACUCCUUAGGAAUAAAAUUAUCCCUUAAAAUCAUGAUUCUUUCCAUCUGAGAUUUCUCCUAUCCAUUUGGUGUUUGUCUAGACUGAAAGGUAUUUAUAGAAUCAUAGAUUCAAAGCUGAAAGUGAACUGAAAGGCCUUCUACUCCAACCCCCUCAUUUUACAUGUGAGGAAACUGAGGCUUAGGGAGGAAGGUAGGUUCAUGCAGGAACUUAGCAAGGCUGGAUGAAUGACUAUUCCCUUCAAGUUUGAUCUCUCUAUUAUUUCUGCCUUAUUCUUUGUUUUUUAUGAACACUUCCUGCUUUAUUGUCUCAUCACUCUGCAUCAAAACUUUAAUUCUUUUUAAGGUGGGGUGGGCAAAAUGGGACUUUGAUAGCACUUAAGUAAUUGAUUUAUAUCUUUUACAUAAACAAACCAAAUUUGGAAAGUCUAAACAUUUUUUUCAGAAUUUAUCAUUUAAGGGUUUUACACUUAUUUAAUUUCUGUAAACCUUUACUGUAAAGCAUAUGAACUCUUUGAAUCUUGUUUUAUUUUAUGAAUACACACCUAUAUCUAUAUACAUAUAUACAUACACAUUUGGUUAGGGAAAUAAUUCUCUUUUGACACCUAUCCCCAAUGAAGAAAAAUACAAUAUAAUUUAAAAUAAAAGUAGGAUCUUGUAUCAUCAGUUAACAUGUGACAAUAUGUCAAGGCUAUUCCAGAUAUUGCCAACCUAUACUAUUAAAAUUAUUAAAAUGAUACAUCCAUCAUGUCAUGAGCACAUCUUAACAAAAACCUUUAUAAAAGUAUGUUGUUAGCAUAGAUGACACUGAAAAUAAGGAGUUAUUUUCGAACUUUCAUUAAACUCAGAUACAGUUUUACUUCAUUAUACGUUACUAUUUCUGCAAGAAAGACAUGAUGAGUUUAAGACUAAUUUGGAAGUGACAUUUUCUUUUUCAGUGAGAGUGAAGGCUUUCAAAAGUUUUCAAUAAACAAGAGCAACUUGGUAAAAAAAAAGCUAUCUGUCUAGUAUUUUCAAACUGAAGGGAGGCAGAAGAGAUUUUUAAUGGCACUCUUUCUAUCCACCCGUCUCCACCAUUUUCUUUGACCUGUUCUUGUUUCUGUUUUUGCAGUUUCUAUCACCCUUGACUUUAAUAUUUCUGGCACAUUUUGCAGCUGUAGUAAUAACUUUUCCUCUUCUCUCAAAACUAAUUCCUCAGCAGUAGAAACAAAAGUGACUUAAGAGUAGCUUCCAAAUAGACUGAAAAGUCAACAUAGGCAUGUGCAAAUUUUAUGCAAAUGUAUGCUGCCCAGAUUAUUUUAUACCUCUUAUCUAGCUAAUACACUAGGGAUGGUUUCUAAGACCCCUGAAUUAAACUACACCAGUAUUCCUUAAAAAUCACAGAAAGCUAAAACUCUGAUAUAAUUUAGUCAAAUACCUUCAUUUUAAAGACUGAGGCCCAGAGAGGUUAAAUAAUUUGUUCAAGGUCACAUAGCUUGUUAGUGGCAAAUAUAAGCCAGGCUUUCAGUUUCAACUUUUCCUACUGUUCUAUAAAUUGUAGUUCAGGAUCUUCAGUAACCAUCUCUGCCCUUUACUGCCAUUAUGACCUUGGGCUCGGCUUAACCUCUUCGGACCUCAGUUUCCACAUUCAUGAAAUGAUUGUCCUAGAUGAUGACUUCUGAACAUAAUCUAAGAUCUUAUAACCCUAUCUACUCAAAGAUAGAAAUUCUAGGGUAUUGGGUGGGAAGCGGGAGGCUGCCAUUAGGCAGCAGUCUCUCACAAAAUCCCUCUUACCCUCCUUAAAUCUAAGAACUAAACCCUCGGGAACCAAUCAGGCUGCAAUACUGUACUCACUGGUCUGCUUGGGUACCGAACUGCUGCUGGCGGCAUCUUCUUCCCAGCUUCUCGACCACAUCCCACAGAUGCAGAUGAGCCUAUGAGUUCAGGCAUCUGAGGAAACUGGAUGGAUACAGAAGUGGCCAAGAGUCUCCAGGCAGUGUGACCUUAGCCAGUGGGCGGAUACCAGCCCCUCUGAGGCUCGGGGAAACUUUUCCCCUAGUUCAAAGUGGCACCAGGUCCUAGCGAAUCGGACCGUCAGGCGAUGGGGCUCAAGGGCCUGUGGGGUGGAUACAUGCCAAGAAGGAGGGCAGCCACGUACUGAUCGCGCGGAGGUCAGUGUGGGAGGUAAGGGGUGAGGGGUCCCGUGGCUUGAACUAACGGUAUUCCCUCGCUCCGGACAGCCGCGGAGGGGACAUAGAGACAAAAUGAAGGAAGGAAAGAGAAAAAAGAGAAAGAGAGAAAGAAAGGAGAAAAAAGUAGAAGUAACAAGAAAAGGAAGAAGGCCACCGGCUUAGGGGAGUAGGGCAGGGAGCGUCAGCGCGGAAAUCAAAGUUUGUCUUUCGGUUCCAGCAAAGUUUCCUAGGACCCUCGGGAAGUCAGAGCAGAAAGACCCGUGCUCUUCGCUUUUGCCUCCAGGCCCGUUUUCCUUCCAUCCCCAAAUCUCGCCCCUUCUGGAUCUACUCAGCAGGGGCCCGAGAGAUCUUAGGGGAGCAGAUCUAGGCUUCUGAGACGCUGAUGGCAGGGGGAGGGGAGAGCCAACUGCCCCCCUUCCCAGAGAGGCGCUUAGCUAAAUCCUGGAGGUCCGACAGAAGAUGGAUGCUUAUCUCUGUCUCUGUUUCUCCCUAUCUCUUUCAGUCUGUCAUACAGGCAUACACACACACAUACACACACAGAGACACACACACACGCACGCACGCACGCACAUAAGUGAGGGCCAGAGGGAGAGAAUAGAGCAACUACCCUCUGUUUAAGAAGUGCAUCCGUUGCAACAAGACUCUCACGGUGCCCAGGACCGACUUACCCGCCGGCUGGGUAUUGUCUAGAACAAGAGCAUGUUCAACGGAGGCAGCGACAACAGGAGAAAGAGAAGAGCAGAGGAGAGGAGAGAAUGCUGCCAAAGCAUUUGCAGUUGCAGUCUUUUCUUGUUCUUGUUCUUGUUCUACUCCUCCCCCCCCCACCCCCGCGCUUUUACUCCCCUCCUCCUCCUCCUCCUCCUUCUCUCACCACGUUCUUUGUGUGUCUCUCCCUUUCUUUGGACCGGUUCGGCUUCUAGCCUGACAUCCGAGCGGUUCUGCAGCUCGGGAUCCUUCUUCCUUUAGCCGAUGUUCCCUUUGCUUUGCUUAGCUUUCUUACGGAACCUGGGCCCCUUGCAGGGGCAGCAGCUGCAGGGAAGGCAGCGGCAGCAAGGGCAGCAGUAUUAGCGAGGGCAGCAGCAGCAGCAGAAGGAGGAGGACGAGGAGGAGAACGAAGAGGAGGAGGAGGAAGAAGAAGAAGAGGAGCAGGAGGAGGAGCAAGAGGAGGAGCGCUGACAAAUGAUGCCUUGGAGCCGAACCAGUAGCAAAAGGAGAAAGCACAGAACCAGUCUCCUAGGACACACUGCAGCCUCCUCAUAAUCAUCUUGUAGCUGUCUGUUGUCGUUUGGUUGGCCAUCAAAUUCAAUUCUUCAGAAACUCUGGGGGCUUCGUGAUACAUAGUCAUUGAAAACUGAAAUAAUAUGGAUAUGAAAAAGAUGCCCUUUUGUUUUAGGAAGAAACGAAAGAACCCCAAUUCCACAAGGCAAGUUAGCCCACUCUCUUACUCCUGUUCAGUUCUGGGCCCAGUUCGUUGUACAUUUGCAGUGUCUGUCCAAGAUACAUACUGAUGGACGAGCUCUAUAGUUUGUUCAUCCAAUUGUAUGUCAUAGUCUGGACAAUAGGCAUUCUUCAUCCACUUGGUUUUUCCUGUAUGGAGAUUUAGACCAAACUCUUUUGAGUUACUAUUGAUCUCAUUUAAGAGGCUCUGAAAUGUUCUGAGGCUCCAUGCAAUCAGCCCAAUGUCAUCUGCAAACAAGAACACUUGGAGAAUGUUACCAUCUAUAGGGAAUUCCUCUUUACUUUGGACUCUGCAGCUCUUCUUUGAUUGUUGUAAACAACUAUGGCAAACAUUAUCACUGCUUUAUGCCUUGCUUGAUAUUAAUGACUAGUGGGUCAUCAGACAAGGUUACCUCUGUUAUAUCUUAAAGGAAUCUUGUAUAAUUUGGAUUUUUACAGGGGUAACACCUUGUCAGAGGACAGCCUUUAAGGAGCCAUUUGGCUUUACUAAAUCAAAUAUAUUGAUGGUUUUAAUUUUAAUUAAUAAUAAGCACAGUACAGGAGUAAAAGAUAAGAUAAAACUGUUUUACUUCUAGGUUUAUGUUUUUACUUUUGGAGUCAUUAUAACAGGAUGUAUGCCUGAUUGAUAGCACUUCAAGAUUUUGCCCUCAGCAAUCCCACUGACGGUACAGUGUGAUACAGGGGAAAGAAUCCUGACUUUAGGGUCUCAGAAUUUUAUUUCAAAUCCCUGUUCUGCUAUUAGCCCCAUGUGUACCCUCACUGGGCCUCAGGUCUCUCAUCUGUAAAAUGAGAGGGAUUAUAUUAAUUUUCUUUAAUAUUCCUUAAAACUUUCAAGUUAUGAUUGUAUGACUGCCUUUGGUAAUUUGGAGGCAGAUGGGGGUGGAGAAUUGGUCUGGGAUGAUGAAUAUUAGAGUAUAAAGAUAUGUUUGAAUCUAUAAGUUAUACUUUACUAGUUUUUCCCCAAAUUAGGUAUUGAAUAUACCUAUCUCUCCCCUCCAUGUAGCACCAAGAGGAUAAGUGUUUCCAGACUUUUUUCCUUUUCUUUUGGAAGGAUUUUAUGAAGAGAGACUAACUAUGUGGGAAAAGGAAGGGGUGAUUCUGGGUGAAGAAAGCUUAAUAAAUGGUAUUCUUGACUGAUUUCAGUACUAUAAAGCAGUAUAUGCUGGGCUUGAGGUGAGAAACCCUGGGUUCCAGUCCAGACUGUCAUUUAGUAAUUGUGUAGCAUUUGACAAACCACUUAGUUUUUUUGAAUCUUAGUUUCAUAAUCUGUAAAAGUGAGAAUAAUAGCAUUUGUGUUAUAUACCUCACCUUUUUCACAAAGAGGUCCUGCCUCUAACAUCCUAGCUCUGCAAACCUGGACAAGAUACUAGCCCUCUCUUCAAUACACACAACUCUUAAAUUGCAGAAAAGAUGUCAACCUGCAUUGGUAAAAGUCAUUUCCUCAUCUAGAUAAUUUUUUCUACCUAUGAAAUCACCAGUUCUAAAUCAACUUAAAGAUUAGUUCCCAAACCUAUCCAUGGCAUAGGGGUCCUUGGGAAGAUCAAGUGCAAUAGCAUAUGAAAAGUAUGUGCUAUAUAAAUGGUAUUUUGAAGGCAGAGAUUAAAUGUUUCAUUUUUGUCUUUGAAGUGCCAAUAUUUAGCACUAUAUAAUUAAUAUUAAUAGGUGCUUAAUAAAUGCUCUUUGUGAUGUAUUAACACUAACUUUGUAUAAUCUGAUAGCAUUUUGUGCUCUAUGGCCUAUGUACAUCUGUAUACAAAUACAUAAAAUAUCUAACAUUUAAAUAUAAAUACAUGAUAUGGAAUAUACAUGAAUAACAUGCAAAUAAUAUGCCUAUGUAUACACAUAUACCUAUGGAAAAUAUAAAUCACAUGUGUCUAUACAUAUAGACACAUACACACUAAGCAUACUGAGUGUAGAAAAUAUACCUUUUUUAUCUCCAUAUCAGAAAUUAUGCCUAAAAUGAACUUAAGAGAAUGAGUGAAUUUUAUGGAUAGCCCUUUAAAAUAGUGUGAAGCUAUAGCAACAGAUAAGUUAGAGAAUAAAACUAUUUUUAACAGAAAAGGGCUAAACAAAUGUUAGUUAUUAUUUUAAAGUCUAAGUAAAUAUUUUCUACUUUUUAUCAUUAAAAAGUUAAGCAAAUUUCACUAUAGCUAUAUCAAUAAAUUGAGGUAACUUAUGACCAUCAAAGCAUGCGAUUUUAUAGGAAAGUUAAUGUCCAGUGGUUUGAAUUUAAACUCAUCAAAUAUUUAAGCUGAUUCACAAUUAAUUUCAUAUAUAUUUAUUGAGGAUUUACACGAAGGCUUUGCAUUCCAUUUCCAAACUGAAAGCAAAUGUGUGUGUUUUUUAAAGAGGGUAUUUCCAAGUACAGUAAUAUAAUUGGUUUUUCAAUUGCCUAAAGCACACACACACACACACACACACACACACAUCCUGCCUAAAUCCAAAGUCAAUUCCUCUUGCUUCCCAAAACUUUAGCACAAUUAUAUGUGGUGGUUUAUUUCUUGGAAUGAGGUUCUAACGAAAUAUAAAUUUACACUAGCAAUGGGAGGAGGCAGUGGUAAGAUGAAGGUUGGGUGGCAGUGGAGGGGAAUGGUUACUGGUUUACUUUUCAGAUUUUAUUUUCAUAGUAGCCAGAUCUACACAUAUUGUGGAUAAAUAGACCCAACUAAAACUAUAUGUCAAAGAAACCAGUAUUUCUCCAUUCCCUGGAACUUUUUGUAGUUAGGUAUGUUUCUGGUAAGAAGUGUGAUUUUGUCCUGGUAUACAUUUCAUUUACUUAAAGAUUAAUUCACAGAUUUUCAUCAUGACUUCCUUAGUGUCUAUGUAUUAAAGAAAAAGAAGGCAGAAGACAAGUUAGCCUGGGAGCUCUUUUUGGAAGACAAUCUUAUCCAUAACAGAUACUGAACUUUAAAGAGAACUUUAGCCCUUUUUUGAUGCAGUUUUCUUCAUAUAAAUAAAUACCCAAUAUUUGACAUUCUCUGUUACAUUCAUAUGCCCUAGAGAUAUAAUUAAUUUAAAUAUUUUUUACUCCUCUCAUUUGAAGACUCACAUUCUGAAUUUUGAUUAUGGUCAUACCUCCAUCCUAUCUUGUGACCUUGGUUAUUCCUAUUUGACUCCCAAUUCAAGAAUUAUCUAUUUGUCACAGCUCAAGCAUGUAUUCAGAGAAAUUGAAUAUUAGCCUACAAUUAGGAAAGAUUGUUUAAUGUGUGACUGGGCUUAGAGUAAGUUCUAGUUGAUGUCUUGUUUCUGGUACAUGCUGGCUGUGUGUCCCUGGAAAAGUUUCUUUCUCUCUCAUUGCUCAAUAGUUACUCUCAAUUUGCUGAUCAUGUGGUGGGGAUUUCCAUUUGGCGGAUCCCUAUACCAGAAAAAUCACAGUUCAAGAAGGGUUAAAAUUUUUUUUAGGAAUAAAUAGCUCCUGCAUCCCUUUUAUGCUUGGUAUACUGGAGAUGAAAGUAUAGGUUGGAGAAUCUUUGUCUAGCCUGUUGGGAUCCAGACAUGAACAAAUAUUGGAAAUGUUAAAAAUGUACCCAAAGACUGACUCUUAUGAACAAUAUGCUCAUGUAACAGACUUAUGGAUAUAAUUCUUUUAUUUCUCACAAUUGAUUUCUUGAUCCUUGGAACAAUGUGAAACUAAUCUUAUGUUAUCCUGACCACUCCCUAAGACUUCAGUCCAAAGGUCAAUUGGACCUUGACUUAACCUCCACCUCUUUGAUCUUGUGGUUGUCAACCAAGCCAAUGUUAAAUUCUCUACCAUAUCACAUAUUCAUUAACUACCUCCUGUUCCCUAUUCCAUAAUUCUGCAAUAAAAACUGGAUCCACAUGUGGCCCUCUCUCUUUCCACCAUCAGAGGAGCACGCAGACUGAAUCCCAUGUUGCUGAACCUUUUGUCCUCAUGUCUUUCUUCCUUCCUCAUGUUCCCUCUCUCUUAUCUCUAACCCCCUUCACCCAUUUCCCCACAGUCUUCAAUUUCCCUUUUAGGUGUUUACUCAUGAAAAAGAAUAUUUUGUGACUGCUGGCAGUUACAUAGUCUCUGCAAUUUAACAAACUUAAAUGACUCUUUGGGUGGACAUCAGAGGAUCCCUUUAAUGCUUUUUAUGUACAUGUAUACUUUAUGCUUGGGGCAACUAAGUAGCACAGUCAUAGUCCUAUCUUAAGAAAUUCAAAUCUGACCUCAGACACUGUGUGACCCUGACUAAGUCAUUCAACUCUGUCUCAGUUUCUUCAUCUGUAAAAUGAGCCAGAGAAGGAAAUAGUAAGUUUGUGAAGAAGACCCCAAAUAGAGUCAUAAAGAAUCAGACAUGACCUUAAAACAACUGAACAAUAUUUUAUGCAUGAGUGAAAUUAAAUUGGGAAUAAUUUAGAGUAUAAUCUGAAUCUCAUUCUUCCAAACUCUUUUCCAUACUUCCUUAAAUGCCUUAAACAUGCCUCUUUAAUGAAAAUGAGUUGGUCAUUCUACUUUAUAACUUGUUCCAAGUCUGACUGGUAGUAAAUAGUGGGGAUAAUGAUUUGGACUAUGUCUUAAUUUUCCUCAUCUCUAAAAAUGAAGAGGAUUAUACUUAAUCAGGGGUUCUUCAUCUUUUUUCCCCCUGCUAUGCACUCUUUUGGCAGUCUGGAAAAGUGUCUGGACAUCUCUGAAUAAUGUUUAAAUGCAUAAAAUAAGCCUACAAAGGAAACUGAUCAGGUUGAAAUAGUUAUAGACUUAAAAAUGAAACACCUAUACUAGAUGAUCACUGUCUCUUCAAGUGUAAAUUCCUAUGUUCUUUUCUGAGGUUUCUUUCCCCAAAUGAGAAGAGUGGCUGACUCACAGAAGUAUAUUUUGAUUCCCUUUUGUGAGUAUAGUCCAAAAAUAUUAAACACUUUUUGGAAAUCAAGUACAUGUUUGUGGGUUUGGGGUUUGAGGAUAGGUCCAUCCAGAUUACUUACAGAUUCAAUAAUAUACAGCUGUGGAGUCAUAACUUCUUUGAUUGUGUAACCCUAAUAGGAAAAAGUUUGAUCAUGCACUCCCCAAUCUUAGAAAAUACAUUUAUGUACUACUGUGCAAUACACUAUCUCCAAAACAAUACAAAAAUGAAGUUGUGGAGAGAUUUCUUAGUAAAGAGUACAGAAUCUUCCUUCUCAGAAAUAACUUCCCUAGUUAUGUGGUGGCUUGCAUAGUAGGGGGCAGAUAUUCUAGAGGGAACAGAGUUCCCAGUCAUACCUAUGAAGCUUCUGCUAUGAGUGUCUGAGUAACAGCAAGGUGAUAACUGAUCAAUACUGGGAGGCUGGAAGCUUAUACAAUAGCAGGAGUGGAGGAAUAUUAUAGGAGAGUGGGUGAAAGACAGGUUAGUGUAGAAGUACCACUUGUCUUCCUACCUACUGAUUAUCACUAAUUAGCUAAUCCUUUACUUCUUAGGAUCUUGCUACUGUCUCCUUGUGGUAAUUACUCUCAAAAGGACCUAGUCCCCACUUUGGAAACUAGUGAUGUAGACUUCUGGUGUGGAAACUCCCUCUACUGAUUUAAAGGAACAAUCUGUAAUUUAUAGUCAUAGAGAAUCUUCUAUGUCUAGAGAUAUUUAGGGAUUCACUAAGGUGACAGAAUAUGCUACACAUAGUACUUGAAUCCAUAUCUUCUUGACUCUCAAAUCAUUUAUCUACUUGUUUACUUGUGUCUUAUUCUUUGUGACCACAUGGCUUUCCAUGAGGUUCUCUUGGCAAAUAGAGUGGUUUGUCAUUUCCUUCUCCAGUGGAUUCAGUGGUCAGCUAGGAAAUAUCUGGGGCUGGAUUGCAACUCUGGUCUUCCCUGACUUUGGGCUUAGUGUUCUUAACCACUGGGCCACAGCUUCCUUCAACAUUAUAUUUGUUUCUCAAUUACAGAUUAUAUAUAUAUGUAAAUAUAUAGAUAUAAUUUCAUAUAUUUUAUAUGAAAUUUAUGCAGAAAUCAGAGGGAUUUAGCUAAAAGAAUUAGAAUUUCUCAUUUGAAUAAUAACUAAACAAUACCUUGAAAAUUAUGCAUUCUUGGGACCCAAUUUUAGCUUUUAUCCUUGAGACCUUAUCUCAAAAUGUAGUGAUGUAGUAAAAUACAAUUGAUCUUUUUACCAGAAUUAUUUCUUUUACUCCUCUAUAUAAAAAUGUCGUUUGUCCCUUGUUGCUUUUAAGAAAUGAUUUUCUGCUUUAAUAGACAUACUUUCAUAAUGUCUAUUGUCUGCCCUUGUAGAAACUUUGAAGAAAUUUUUUUUGUGGAAAUCUGUUACUUCAGAUUAUUAUGUGUUAUGUGUGUGUGUGUGUGUGUGUGUGUGUGUGUGUGUGU